GGCUUGUUGGUCUAGGGGUAUGAUUGUUGCUUUGGGUGUAAGAGGCCCUGGGUUCAAUUCCUAGACGAGGCCA
rnacentral:tRNA from 1 species